AGCAGAAGUGAUCCAAAUAAGCAACAUCCAGCACAUGUUUGAAAGGCAAUGGUUUCACAUCUUACCUUGAGCCAUGAGCCCUGAGAAGCUCUCAGCAGCUCCUUUUUGCCUACAUGAGUAGAGAAUAUCUGAACCAUCAGUUUAAAAAUCAACCACAGCAGCAGAGUGCUGUCCACUUCCCAUGCUGGGAAUGUCCUGUGGGACUUAACUGAACUUCAUGUUUGUUUGAACAGCAUUUAGAAAAGAUAAAGAAGGAACUACAAAAUCUAGAGAUAUUAACACCAGGUGAUUCACCUUUGCUGACUUCAGCCACCUAAAAUUUUGCAGUCUGACUUCCUAGGAUGUAUCUGCCCACCUAGAUAAAAGAGAGCCAGGACUGCAUUUGAGCUCUGAAGCCAUGGCUGCCUGCUGACCUGGAGCACUGUCUCUGAUCUGGACCAUUCCAGAAUUGUUUUA
ensembl:lncRNA